rnacentral:rRNA from 1 species
CGAAAGCCUGACGGAGCAACGCCGCGUGCGGGAGGAAGGCCUUAGGGUUGUAAACCGCUUUUCUCAGGGAAGAAGAUCUGACGGUACCUGAGGAAUAAGCAUCGGCUAACCCCGUGCCAGCAGCCGCGGUAAGACGGAGGAUGCAAGCGUUAUCCGGAAUUAUUGGGCGUAAAGCGUCCGCAGGCGGCUAAUUAAGUCUGCUGUCAAAGCCCACAGCUCAACUGUGGAUCGGCGGUGGAAACUGGUUAGCUUGAGUGCGAUAGGGGUAGAGGGAAUUCCCGGUGUAGCGGUGAAAUGCGUAGAUAUCGGGAAGAACACCAGUGGCGAAGGCGCUCUACUGGGUCGCACCUGACCCUCAGGGACGAAAGCUAGGGGAGCG